ACACCUCAACCCUCCAGUGUUUUUUCAUUGGAGGCGUUGGUAGUGAGCGCUGCCGGACUUUUAAUCGGCUCGCUUUAAAAUCAUUAGCUGGAUCCAUUCUGACCUGGUUCUACUCGGCGUAAUAAGUUAUUAUCGUCGAGGACGCCUGGCCUUCUGGGCAGGCGGCCACAGUAAGGGUGUUCGAACCGCUUCCAAACACGUCUUGCUCUUGUAGCAAACACUUGAACCU
rnacentral:misc_RNA from 1 species